AAUUGCUCAGCGGGCAGUGAUACCGGCUUCAGCACUCUGUGCAUUUCUGUAUUGGUGGUAGCUCCGUCCCUUUACGCAUGUGAUUUGCCUAAAAGAAGAGGGUAGUAUUAACAGAUUGUUUACGUAAUAAGUAUAGUGACACAUAAUACCGGUACCGGUAGUACCUUAUAAUUCAUAAGAGUUUACAAAAAUCCAAUUAAUAACUUUCCAAAAAAAAAAAAGGAAUUGAACAAUGUAGUGUGGUAACAAAAACAAAAAAAACUUAUAUAAAUGUUAACAUUCUCCUAUACAAAAUAUGUAAAAUGGUAAAUGGACUGCAUUUAGGCUAUAUAGCGCUUUCAACAGACCCAUGGCCACCAAAGCGCUUUAAACAUCAUCAUAAACAUAUUAAACAUCAGGUAUUUACACGUGCAUAGGGAAAGGUACUACUUCAGCAAAAACCAAAAAAACA